GGGGGAGGAUCAAGAUGGCAGAGAAGGAGACCUAAAUAUCAUCAGGUCCCUGGAGUUCAGCUACAUAGUUAUCAAAACCAUUCUGAACAUCUACAAACUCAACAGGAGAUCAAAAAGAGAAGGGUAGCAACUCUGCAAACAGAAAAGCAACAACCUUCUGGAAGGGAGCUACGUGGACAACUUCGGAGAUCAAAGAGCAGCCUCCACAGAAUGCUGGCUGAUGCCAAACAGUCCUGCCAGGUCCUUUGGUUUUGCCAGAGCAGAGAUGGUUUGAACAUACUGGAGAGCUCCACAUUUGUUCUCCCUGUUAUCACAUAAUGAGAUGAUCACAGCCCUAUUUUGAGUCUUUUUGUCUGAAAUAGCAUUCCCUAUUUUUACUACCAUUUGACAAAAAAGAAGAAAGAAAGAAAAACAGCCAAAGUUAUUUCAGGAUCAAGACAAAGAAUCAUCAUGCAAUGCUCUGGGACACCUGGGCUUUUGCUGAUCUAGAAUGUGCUCCUCCUGAAAUUCUGGAAUUGUCUUUAGACUGCACAUUGGAUUCAGGUCUUCCCUACUUCUCUCUCACCUCCUUGAACCAGCGACUUGCUGAAACAUGUUCUUAUUACACAAUGAAGGCACAAGACCCUUGAUUUUGGCCCUAGGAGCCUUACACAUUUUACUCUUAAUGGAGUCAAGUUUUCUUUAUAAAAGACACCAUUUAUGCAGGCUGUAAUUUCCACAUGUCAAGAACGAUAUGCAUGUGAAAGCAAAACCCUCCCCAGCCCACUCCCCUCUCCCUUCUACUACAACCACUGUGACAACACAUCUUCAAGUCCUUUGUUAGUAUUCUAAGGUUGAUGACCUUGCAGUGAUGCAUUUUGUUUCUCAGAGCGCCUUAAAUUUGGGGGACAUAAAUUGUUCUGGAUCUUAAGACAGGGUAGAUAAAGUAAAACCAUUCUAAGCAAAGUAUUACAAACUCUGGGAUAUUGGAGUAUGGUGGUUAAUGAGAGGGAAAGCCUUAAGGGGGAAGAAUAGACCAAGAACACUGUAUUGAGCUGGGAUGUUAGGGAGGUACAUGGUUAGAAAAGAAAUUCACUAUGAUGAAUAAUGGUUAAGUCUUCUUGGGAGUGAGGAUGGAUGUUAAGUUUUAAGUUGCCUCUAUUGUACUGUGCAGUUAUUUUUCCCUUCAAAUACUGUGUGCUGCAAGUAAAGUCUGCAUCACACAACAGCCUUCUAUAAUUGACCUUGGAGGAAAUGAAAGAAUAAAAAUUCUGGGCAGCAC
rnacentral:lncRNA from 1 species